UCCUGGCUCAGAACGAACGCUGGCGGCGUGCCUAAUACAUGCAAGUCGAGCGAGAAAGUCUCUUCGGAGGCGAGUAAAGCGGCGCACGGGUGAGUAACACGUGGGCAAUCUGCCCUCGAGUCUGGGAUAACCCGGGGAAACUCGGGCUAAUACCGGAUACGGCUGUGGGGUCUUCGGGCCCUAUGGAGAAAGAUGGCCUCUUCUCGAAAGCCAUCUCUCGAGGAUGAGCCCGCGUCCUAUUAGCUAGUUGGUGAGGUAACGGCUCACCAAGGCAAAGAUGGGUAGCUGGUCUGAGAGGAUGACCAGCCACACUGGAACUGAGACACGGUCCAGACUCCUACGGGAGGCAGCAGUAGGGAAUUUUGGGCAAUGGGCGAAAGCCUGACCCAGCAACGCCGCGUGUGGGAUGAAGGCCCUCGGGUCGUAAACCACUGUCAGGAGGAAAGAAAAGCCGGCCGGAUAAUACUCGGUCGGCCUGACGGUACCUCCAAAGGAAGCACCGGCUAACUCCGUGCCAGCAGCCGCGGUAA
rnacentral:rRNA from 1 species